GUCCUACGGGACGCAGCAGUGGGGGAUAUUGCACAAUGGGGGAAACCCUGAUGCAGCGACGCCGCGUGAGUGAAGAAGUAUUUCGGUAUGUAAAGCUCUAUCGGCAGGGAAGAAAAAAAUGACAGUACCUGACUAAGAAGCCCCGGCUAACUACGUGCCAGCAGCCGCGGUAAUACGUAGGGGGCAAGCGUUAUCCGGAUUUACUGGGGGUAAAGGGAGCGGAGACGGCUGUGCAAGUCUGAAGUAAAAGCCCGUGGCUCAACCCCGGAACUGCUUUGGAAACUGU
rnacentral:rRNA from 1 species